GGCUCGGCUCUGCGGCUCUGCUUGACUUGCUCUCUCCCUCUCCCUUUGCACCCCCCCCCGCCGCCGCACUCUCUCUAAAUAUAUCAAUAAAUAAGUAAAUAUUUAAAAUGAUUUUGUGACAAAUGUAUCAUUCGCUUCACAGGCUGGCUGGGAAAAUCAAGCGGGAGAAUUAAAAAAAAUACUCAACACAGGGCCCGGUAGCCGAGAGCUCAUGGUGUUUUCAUGGGCGAGGCCCCUUUGCUGGGCGUGCGUGGGAACAAGGACCUCGCGGUGACCUUCAGGGGGCUGCGGCUCCGUGGAGACGGCGCAGCCCUCGGGCGGACAACUUGGCCGCGGUGGUAGCGGGUGCAGUUUUCUGGUCCGUAUGUGCCCCCUCGUGUCCUUCUCAGGUGCCCUUGUCCUGCGCUCCCCGCGCCAGCGAGGCAGGAACCGAGAGCCAGGCAGCGUGGCUCCUGUGUUCCGUGGCUACUGACAGUGACGCAGAGAAGCAGGGGAAAUGCCGCGGGGAGCACGCGGUCUGACCUGCCGUGUCACCGCCGGGACACCGCCUCCUCCGUACCCCGAGCUUUCCCGCCUGAGAGAAAAGGUGGCCUUGGGCACCUGGGUGGCUCGGUCGCUUGGUUGGGUGUCUACCGUCGGCUCGGGCCAUGAUCCUGGAAUCCCGGGAGCGAGCCCCAUGUCGGGCUCCUGCUCAGCACGGAGUCUGCUUCACCCCUUCCCUCUGCCCCUCUCCUCGCUCCUCGUCUCUCUCACUCAUUCUCUCAAAUAAAUCAAAAA
rnacentral:lncRNA from 1 species